rnacentral:lncRNA from 1 species
AUGACUGUUGAAUUUAUUGCUACUGAAAUGCUAGUCAGCUGUGUGGGAAGGACACAGGGAGUCAUCUCAGACUUGAUCUCCAUAUAUUACCCCAAAAUGGAAGUGCAGGGACUACUUCUGAACCAAUCCCAUUAUUUAUGGGCCCAGGAGCUUUGACCUGUUAACACUCCCAAAACUGGCUGGAUCAUCACAUCUGAGAAAACCUAGUAGCCCUCCCACCUGGGGAGGGGGAGAAUGUGGGAGAAGGGACCACCAUAUUAAUUAAUGGUGAAUUUUGUCUGCAUAUCAAUGCUCAGAAUUCCUGCACUCAAGAGAUCCUUCAGGUUCUGCCUCCCCAGGACUGCGAAUAAUAAUCAUCUUCCAUUGUUUCUGGCUCUAAUGUCCUUUCAAGUUUUACAUCCUAUAUACUCCUGAAAGAUUAAAGAUGGAGAGCUGAAAAGGAAAGAAGAGGUCAUCCAGUCCAACUCUGCAUUUUACAGAAAAAGAAACUAAAGCAAGGAAAAUUUAACAGAUUGCCCAAGUCAAAGGAAGAAAAUAAAUGGCAGAGCUGUGGUUCA